AAGAUAGCAUUGAAAAAAACAAGUCAAUUCUUCCAUUAGUCAAAUUCCUGUUAAAUUAUCCAUACUUCCCAGUGAGCAAGUCCAUGGACCAGGUUCCUAUCAAUGUAUUGAUGGUGAAGGCUGGAUAUGCUGGUAUCUAAAAAACACCCACAGAAUGAAACCUGCCCCCAUCAUACAGCAUCAUUCCAGGGAUGGGGAAUGCCACAGAGCUCUGCAACCAGCAGACAAAAGUGUGGAUUUUGGAGGGGAGGGAUGCAGGGUGCAGAAUGGUGCAAAGGGAAGAGGCACAGGGAGUGACUGUGGAUGGGAGGAGAGCGUUUCUGUUGAGACCUUGUCAGUGUUUGGCAUAUGCAGGUCUGCCCUCCUCUGUUAUCCAUGCACCCAUCAGCUCCUGGGAGUCACUUUGAUGAAGGAAUCAGAGGAAAAUUGGAAAAUACCUUCAGCUUGAGGCCUGAGUCAAGUGCUGUUAUUAAUAGCGUGUUUAAUUACGAGUGGCAUCUAAAUCAGGCAUAAGCUGAAGAACAGGAGGAAAAGCAAAGCAAGAGAUUCCCAUGUUGAGACCAUGGAGCGCAGGAAGCUGCAGUGCUGUGCAGCCAUCUGAACUCAGAGUGAUGUUUGACCUCAGAUGAUGAACAGGAGCUUUGCCUUCUUGCUGUGCAAUGCCAGAUCACCAGAAAAGAUCUUAGCUAAUACUUGUAAUGAUAUCGUGGCUCAGAUUGGGUGUACGAGCAUGUUGUAUGCUGCUUAACAGCAGAAGGUGAUGGGAUUUGAUGGAGAUACAUGUCUGUAUUUCCUAACCUUCAGCAGGAACAGCAAAGAACUCUUGUUCCAAGAAGGAAUUCAGAAUAUCUCCUCCGCGUUCUACCUCUGCAUGCUGAGACAGAGUGAGAACUGCAGUCAUGGAGUGAGAAGACUCACAGAAGAGGUCAGUGCUUACCAUAACAACAGCGGUGCACUUUUGCAGGGCUGUGGUAUUUUCCAGGGUGUUGUAGUUGGGCAUUCCCUGCACAAAGCAUGAAGGACCGUGCCAUGCUGACAUGCUGACAAGGCAGCCUCUGUCCCGGUCUCACAGGCAGCACUGUGAGCUGGAGUUGCCUUUAGCCGUCAGAUACAUCAGCUUGAUAAUCUGUGCAAAGGUGUGUGGUUGGUACACCCCAUCUGUCUGAGUUCUACAACAAGUCCCUGUUUGCAUCAAAUUCUGGACUGCUCGCGUCCCUCUCUGACUACACUGGAGAACAGCUGAGGUCCCUCUCACUGAACGCUGCUUCCCAAGGGCUGAAUUCGGAUGAGAAAACCACUGUAACAUUGGGUAAUUAAUUUGUCGGCCAAAUAAUUUCUGCAGGGCUAUCACUUACUUCUCUGUCUGCAACCCCAAUGAAUCUCCCAGCUCGCAGCUUUAAUCCCAUUUUCUGCCUUUUAAUCUCAUUUUUUCACUCUAAUUUUCAUAGCUCCUACUAUUCAGUGGGAAUAACCAGAGCCAGGUGAGCACGGAUUCUGUGGCACAUAUUGAAUGCCUGGAGACCAACAACAGAGCUCCUGGAAUGGAAUUCCUCCAUUCCAGGUGGUCCACUGCAACAAAUAAUGGACUCAACAAAAAGAACAGUUAUAAGAAUAAAGGAGAAAGAGUGAUUUGUAUUUGGAGGAAUUACGAGUGUGACUUCAUUCAGAACCAGCCCAGCACACGUGCAGAACUCCCUAAGUGCAGUUCAGAGCAUUGCGUCCUCUGAUCAGGUAGGAACUAAUUUGCUAAGUGCAAAAGUUGGAAAAUUUUGUAGCUGUUUAACAGCAAAUCACAGAUCUGUCCUCAUUUAUUUUUCCUGACACAUUUAUUAUUGAAAGAUGGUUUGGUGAGUGCCAUAAGUAAGCAGGCGGUGUUGUUCCUGAGCCCUGAGAUUUGUCACUUCGGCUACAUCUUUCUGAUCUGUGACGGAGUGUUUUCUGCAGGAGAACAGGAAUGCUAAAUAAGGCAUCAAUAAUGCAAGAGAUCCGUGAAUAAUCACCCGAGUGCUUGAAAACGAGUGGACAGUGUGAUCAUAUGGUAGAAGAAAAAUAACGUUAGCUGCAUAUUUAUCAACGCCUGGUGCCAUUAGCACAGGGUCUGGCAAUAGCUCAAGGCUUCUAGGAGACAGUGCACACAGUGCUUUGGUGCCCAAUGCUACAGGAGGAGGGCACAUCCCCAGAGCAGGGAGCUUGUUUGGGCCCGGCCAGUCUGUGGCUGGAUGGGGUAAUGGAUGGGGAUGGCAGACAGCACCCUUCGUGUGUUUGUCCUAUGCUGCUGCAUUUUAGCCCCGUCUCUCACUGCACCAACGUGUCUAUCUUAAAAAGGACUUCUGAGUGCAAACAUUUGAUCCUGGGAGCAAGCA
rnacentral:lncRNA from 1 species